GGGUCUGGCCAGCGGCCGCGCAGGAAGCGUGUAGGAAGCGUGGCGCCUCAGCCCACAAUCGUAAUCACCUUUAAUCUCUUGCUCAAAAUAACCCAAAGUCAAGCCAGAGGGAGCCUCGCUAACCACCAAGGCAGUCCUGCGGCCCCACCCUUUGCGCAGCCCUGAGGGCAUCCAGUCCUCCGCGCGUGGCGGAGAAUCCAGCCUCCAAACACGAUCUCCAGGGCCCACCGGAUCUGCCUCUGCGCCUUCUCGCUCCCUGUCCCCGAUGCACACCCCCUUCCUGGCUGAAGACCCUGCACCAGCCACCCCUCCACCUGGGAAGCUCCGGCUCCCUCCUGUUGUUCAGUCCAAGAUGCAGCAGCAUCACCUCAAGAACUCUCCCUGCUCUGCACCCCGAAUUCACUCUCAGCCCCCACCUAGCUUAAAUCCUGGCACUUCUCUCUCCCUGAUGUUGUGCUUGGUUAUUUACUUUUAAUUCAUGUUGGAGCUGCUCCUGCCACUGCAAGAGCAGGAGCUGUGUGUCCUGGUCACUGUGGCAUCCCAGGGCUGGCGUGGUGCCUGGCAGCCAGUACUGGACAGACUCGGGCCACGCUGCGCACGGGCUGGGAUGCGCCAGCUCUGCUUCCUCUUCCGUCGAAUGGGAGUGAGGACCACUCUUCCCAAUGGGCCUGUGGUUUCUCACAAACA